rnacentral:rRNA from 1 species
UACAGAGGUGGCAAGCGUUGUUCGGAAUUACUGGGCGUAAAGGGCGCGUAGGCGGCCUUCUAAGUCGAACGUGAAAUCCCCGGGCUCAACCCGGGAACUGCGUCCGAUACUGGCAGGCUUGAAUCCGGGAGAGGGAUGCGGAAUUCCAGGUGUAGCGGUGAAAUGCGUAGAUAUCUGGAGGAACACCGGUGGCGAAGGCGGCGUCCUGGACCGGUAUUGACGCUGAGGCGCGAAAGCCAGGGGAGCAAACGGG